rnacentral:rRNA from 1 species
GACUACCCGGGUAUCUAAUCCUGUUUGCUCCCCACGCUUUCGCACCUCAGCGUCAGUAUCGAGCCAGUGAGCCGCCUUCGCCACUGGUGUUCCUCCGAAUAUCUACGAAUUUCACCUCUACACUCGGAAUUCCACUCACCUCUCUCGACCUCAAGACCGGGAGUUUUGAAGGCAAUUCCGGGGUUGAGCCCCGGGAUUUCACCCCCAACUUUCCGAUCCGCCUACGCGCGCUUUACGCCCAGUAAUUCCGAACAACGCUAACCCCCUCCGUAUUACCGCGGCUGCUGGCACGGAGUUAGCCGGGGUUUCUUUACCGGGUACAGUCAUUAUCUUCCCCGGCGAAAGAGCUUUACGACCCUAAGGCCUUCAUCACUCACGCGGCAUGGCUAGAUCAGGGUUGCCCCCAUUGUCCAAGAUUCCCCACUGCAGCCCCCCGUAGG